rnacentral:rRNA from 1 species
AUUGAACGCUGGCGGCAGGCUUAACACAUGCAAGUCGAGCGAGCCUCGGACGGGUGAGUAAUGUCUCGGAAACUGCCUGAUGGAGGUUGAUCAAUACUGGAAACUGUAGCUAAUACCGCCUAACAUCAUAUGUGCCCAGAUGGGAUUUGCUAGUAGGGGGGGUAAUGGCGCACAUAGGCGACGAUCCCUAGCUGGUCUGAUAGGAUGACCAGCCACACUGGAACUGAGACACGGUCCAGACUCCUACGGGAGGCAGCAGUGGGGAAUAUUGGACAAUGGGCGCAAGCCGGAUGCAGCCAUGCCGCGUGUGUGAAGAAGGCCUUCGGGUUGUAAAGCACUUUCAGCGAGGAGGCGUUACUCGCAGAAGAAGCACCGGCUAACUCCGUGCCAGCAGCAGCGGUAAUAC